rnacentral:rRNA from 1 species
CUACAGGGGUAUCUAAUCCUGUUUGCUCCCCACGCUUUCGUGCCUGAACGUCGGUACUGGUCCAGGAAGCCGCUUUCGCCACUGAUGUUCCUUCCGAUAUCUACGCAUUUCACCGCUACACCGGAAAUUCCGCUUCCCUCUACCGUACCCUAGCUAUUCAGUCUCGAAUGCAAUUCCCAGGUUGAGCCCGGGGCUUUCACACCCGACUUAAAUAACCGUCUACGCACGCUUUACGCCCAGUAAUUCCGAUUAACGCUCGCACCCUCUGUAUUACCGCGGCUGCUGGCAC